AUCAAAUUGGUAAAUUCUUUUCCAAAAAUAUUUAUUCCUCAUGUUCCUCUUCCGCCAUACCUCACCAUGUCCUUCCAAAACAGAGAGGCGAUACAAUCGGAGCUUGCUCGGUUUCCUUUAUCAACUCAACUUCUCAAAUGAUUUUUCUCUAUUGAAGAAGAAAGACAUGUGGAGCUUUGGAUUUCUUCAAUAUCUGUUUGUUUCUGGUUGCAUCACAUGCGUUAUCAGACAAAGUCUCGAACUACUGGGUCAAAGGCACUGAUAAUUGGCUGACGGUUGAGGUUUGAUGCCAUGUCUAUUCUGAUUGCGUGUGUUAUUGCAAUUCCAUAUACAAAUAAGUUGGUGAACUUAUUUUCCAAAAGAUAUAGAAGAUGGAAGCCAUCCGAAUCUUGGAUGUGAUAGCUUAUGCAAAGAUCUUUCUUAAAUAUCCUUAAAAGUUCUGGCCUUGUGAACCGAGGAGUUUUUCAUCUAAGUCCAAUGGUAUCGAUCCGACGACUUUUGGACAUUGGUUCUUGUGGUUUCUUCGAUGUUAGCAUCUUUGGAAAUUUGAGGCUGUUUUUGUCUUGAGCCGGUCCACCCACUUCUAAGGUAGAGGUCAGGUCUGCAUACACUCUACCUCUCGAGACCCGACUUUGUGGUACUGCACUGGGAAUAGAAUCAGCUACAUCAUUUGAUUAGCAGAGUAGAGAAUGAGACAAUCUGGAUCCUAGUGCAUCAUCUCUGGUGGAACUACGGACAAGGCUGACUAUAAGACAACUAAAGCAAUGGCUUGAUGCCCAUAUAUAUAUAUAUUGGUAAAAGAAUCUCAUGUACUGUUUAACUUUGAAAAGAAAUUUUUGGCUAAAACAUAUAAUAACAUUUUCCUUUUAAUGAGGAGUCACAUGUAAUUGUUGAGAA